rnacentral:rRNA from 1 species
AAAUUGAAGAGUUUGAUCAUGGCUCAGAUUGAACGCUGGCGGCAGGCCUAACACAUGCAAGUCGAACGGUAACAGGAAGCAGCUUGCUGCUUYGCUGACGAGUGGCGGACGGGUGAGUAAUGUCUGGGAAACUGCCUGAUGGAGGGGGAUAACUACUGGAAACGGUAGCUAAUACCGCAUAACGUCGCAAGACCAAAGAGGGGGACCUUCGGGCCUC